CUAGGCAACGGAUAUCCAGCCUAAAUUCUGCGGAUUUUCCGGCAGCAACGGCGCAAUCCCGGAAGUGGAACGUCACAGACAUAGACUACACCCCCGCCUACCCCUCGCCUUCCAGUGAACGUUGACCCUGCAGUCCAUUCAAAACAAUGGCGUCCAUACGCUGAACUUUUUUUUUAUUUUUAAACGUAAAAGGAAGAAGUUUUCCGUGUUUAGCGUGAACGUUGUCAUGUAAAUGUAGCCUGAAGCGCUGCACGCAGACCAAAUGGAGACCAAGACUAGAGACGAGCACAAGCUCAUCACGGGUGGCUGUGAUUAGACUUUUAACUCUCCUUUACCAUCCAGUCCUUAUUUAUUUUUUACAACUUUCUCUGAUUAUUUCAGAUCAAAUGAUCAUGGAAGGUAUUUAUAUUUUAAUCAUGGUCAGUUUCCUUAAAAAUCUAUUUCAACUUUUCAAGUUUCUUUUUGUUGCAUACAGCAGGUAAACGGCGAUAAACAGCACGGCCUGCGAGUAUCUGAACAGUGACACAUUUAUCGUCGCGUUGGCUCUGCACUCCAGUACGCUAGAUAUUGAAAUGACACAAUAAUACAAUUCUUAAAGUGGCAUGUGUGUGACAUGGAGUUGCAUUCAGGAGAGGUUCGUAAAAUACUGCAGCUGCGCUGAUUUUCCGUGUCGACGGAUUAUUUAUGUUGUGUUUAAUUUGUACGACGACAACAUAUUCAUGAUUUUGGGAAAAUGUAAAAGCUCUUGUCUUGUAAAGUGGUGUCUGUGAAGUAAAAGCGUGCACCUAAAAAUCUGAUUGGCUAUCACACUAUCAUGUCAAAGCCAUUUAGAUUACAACUGUAAUAUUCACAGCAAUACGUUUGAAUUGUGAAUAAUCCAAUCUGACAAAGAUCAUUUAUAAAUAUUGAUGUUCAGUAUGUAACCACUUCUAAACAAAUAUUUGGUUUGGUGAAAUGAUUAUCUGUUCUUACAAUCCUGCUGUGUUGUCAAGUGCUACAUUACAUAGAACACACAGUGAACCUUAACCCGUGUAUAUAUGCAAUAAAAUCUUCUCAAAACAGAA